rnacentral:lncRNA from 1 species
GGGAUUUCGGAGGAAACGGAGAAGUUACGUGUGAUAUAGGCAAAGACUUGCCUUUCAAGAUCCAGGCUUCUUCUAGCAACUACUACAAGUUAGUAACCGAUGGAGCCAUAGACCGAGAGCAGAACCCACAGUAUAAUGUCACCAUCACCGCCACGGACAAAGGCAAACCAGCCCUCUCUUCCAGUACCACCAUCGCUCUGCACAUCACUGAUGUUAACGACAACGCUCCGGCUUUCCAGAAGUCUUCCUACAUCGUCCAUGUGGCAGAGAACAAUCCACCUGGAGCCUCCAUCGCUCAAGUCAGCGCCUCCGACCCGGAUUUGGGAUCCAAUGGUCAUGUCUCCUACUCCAUCAUAGCUAGUGACCUGGAGCCUAAAUCGCUGUGGUCCUAUGUGACCGUGAACGCGCAGA